UACAGAGGUCUCAAGCGUUGUUCGGAUUCAUUGGGCGUAAAGGGUGCGUAGGUGGCGCCGUAAGUCAGGUGUGAAAUUUCGGAGCUUAACUCCGAAACUGCAUUCGAUACUGCCGUGCUAGAGGACUGGAGAGGAGACUGGAAUUUACGGUGUAGCGGUGAAAUGCGUAGAUAUCGUAAGGAAGACCAGUGGCGAAGGCGGGUCUCUGGACAGUUCCUGACGCUGAGGCACGAAGGCCAGGGGAGCAAACGGG
rnacentral:rRNA from 1 species